rnacentral:rRNA from 1 species
GGUUGCGAUCAUACCAGCACUAAUGCACCGGAUCCCAUCAGAACUCCGCAGUUAAGCGUGCUUGGACGAGAGUAGUACUAGGAUGGGUGACCCCCUGGGAAGUCCUCGUGUUGCAACCU